rnacentral:rRNA from 1 species
AGCAUUAUGAAAAUAUAUAAAGUAAUACCUGCCCGGUGAUAUAUUAAACGGCCGCAGUACCUUGACUGUGCUAAGGUAGCAUAAUAAAUUGACUUUUAAUUGAAGCCUUGUAUGAAAGGAAUAAUGGGUAGUUUCUGUCUCUAAAUAAUUUAUUAAAAAUUACUUAAAAGGUGAAAAUACCUUUAAGUUAUUUAAUAGACGAGAAGACCCUAGGAGUUUAUUUAAUAUUACUAUAAAAUAUUUUGUUGGGGCGACAUUACAACAUAUAUAACUUGUAAGUUUAUUAUUUAACGAAAAGUUUUAAUUAUAAUUAAACUACCCUAGGGAUAACAGCAUAAUUUAUUUAAGUUUGUGACCUCGAUGUUGGACUAGGAAUUUUUAAUAUUAACAGUAUUAAAACUAUGUUCUGUUCGAACAACAUUUCCUACAU